rnacentral:lncRNA from 1 species
UCCAUAUGUGAUAAAUUGACCUGGGUAUUGGAUACCGGAAGUCCUUAUAAUAUUUGCAAUUUAUUGCAGGGACUGCAUGUCAAUAAGAGAUUUGAGGAUAAUGAGAGAUUCUUGAAUGUUGGAGAUGGAAGGACUGUUCCAGUUCUAGCAUUGGGAGAUCUUAAGUUAGUUUUCAAUUCUCAUGUAAUUGCCUUAAGUGACUGUCACUUUUGUCCGUCGUUCUUAAUGAAUGUCAUUUCUGUAGGGCUUUUAGCCCAAAACGGUUAUGAAAUAUCAAUAAAGAAUCGUUCUUGUAA